rnacentral:rRNA from 1 species
AGAGUUUGAUUCUGGCUCAGAACGAACGCUGGCGGCGUGGAUAAGACAUGCAAGUCGUGCGGAUGUGCAUAUAUAGCAAUAUAUCGGUACAUAAGCGGCGUAAGGGUGCGUAACACGUGGGUAAUAUACCUUAAGAUUGGGGAUAACUACGGGAAAUCGUAGCUAAUACCGAAUAAUCAAGUUUUAGUACUUCUAGAACCUGAAAAACCGGGGACCGCAAGGCCUGGUGUUUUAAGAUUAGCCCGCGGCCUAUCAGCUAGUUGGUGAGGUAACGGCUCACCAAGGCUAAGACGGGUAGCUGGUCUGAGAGGACGACCAGCCACACUGGAACUGAGACACGGUCCAGACACCUACGGGUGGCAGCAGUCGAGAAUUUUUCACAAUGGGCGCAAGCCUGAUGGAGCGACGCCGCGUGGGGGAUGAAUGGCUUCGGCCCGUAAACCCCUGUCAUUUGCGAGCAAAACCUCUGCAUAAAUAAUGCAGAUGUUGAUAGUAGUGAAAGAGGAAGGGACGGCUAACUCUGUGCCAGCAGCCGCGGUAAUACAGAGGUCCCAAGCGUUGUUCGGAUUUACUGGGCGUAAAGGGUGCGUAGGUGGUUAUAUAAGUUUGGUGUGAAAUCUCCAAGCCUAACUUGGAAACUGCAUCAAAAACUGUACAACUAGAGGAUUGAAGAGGAGAUUGGAAUUCUCGGUGUAGCAGUGAAAUGCGUAGAUAUCGAGAGGAACACCAGUGGCGAAAGCGAGUCUCUGGGCAAAUCCUGACACUGAGGCACGAAAGCUAGGGGAGCAAACAGGAUUAGAUACCCUGGUAGUCCUAGCCUUAAACGGUGCAUGUUUGCUGUAGGCAGAAUCGACCCUGCCUGUGGCGUAGCAAACGCGUUAAACAUGCCGCCUGGGAAGUACGGCCGCAAGGCUAAAACUCAAAGAAAUUGACGGGGGCCUGCACAAGCGGUGGAGUAUGUGGCUUAAUUCGAUCAACGCGAAGAACCUUACCUGGCCUUGACAUGUGGGUAGUAGAAGCCCGAAACGGCAACGAGGUAGCAAUACCAGCCCUCACAGGUGCUGCAUGGCUGUCGUCAGCUCGUGUCGUGAGAUGUUGGGUUAAGUCCCGCAACGAGCGCAACCCCUGUGUCCUGUUGCAACCACGGUAUUAAUCGUGAGCACUCUGGACAGACUGCCUCGCUUAAACGAGGAGGAAGGUGGGGAUGACGUCAAGUCAGUAUGGCCCUUACGGCCAGGGCUGCACACGUACUACAAUGCCAAGAACAAUGGGGUGCAAUACUGCAAAGUGGAGCAAAUCCUUAAAUCUUGGCUCAGUUCGGAUUGUCGGCUGCAACUCGCCGACAUGAAGUUGGAAUCGCCAGUAAUGGCGUAUCAGAUACGACGCCGUGAAUACGUUCCCAGGCCUUGUACACACCGCCCGUCACAUCAUGAAAGCCGUUUGUACCCGAAGUUGUUGUGCCAACCUAUAUGGAGGUAAAUACCUAAGGUGUGAACGGUGAUUGGGAUGAAGUCGAAACAAGGUAGC